UUUGAGCUAUUUCAGACGUUCCAAAUACGACAUUAAGGUACAAAUUGUAACAAAAUAGAAUGUCAAAUAUUUUUAUUUUAUAGUAUAAAUAUAGUAUCUAGUGAAAACUAACUUCAUUCGCACCAUUUGAAAUACAAAAUAUGAAUUUCUCGCGCAUUUUAUUCUAUGUGUUUGCAAUGGUAUUAACCAUUUCUUCAGUGACAGCUUUGCCUGACCCCAGAUGGAGGCCAUUCAAGAAAAUCGAGAACAUUGGAAGAAGAAUUCGUGAUGGCAUCAUCAAAGCUGGACCAGUAAUUGACGUCAUAGGAAAGAUUAAAGGUCUGAAGAACUGAACAUAAUAUGAAUACCAUUACGAUUUAAUAAAUUGUAUCAUUAAUAA
rnacentral:misc_RNA from 1 species